rnacentral:rRNA from 1 species
GAAACGACUGCUAAUACCGCAUAAGCCCACGACCCGGCAUCGGGUUGAGGGAAAAGGAGCAAUCCGCUUUGAGAUGGCCUCGCGUCCGAUUAGCUAGUUGGUGAGGUAACGGCCCACCAAGGCAACGAUCGGUAGCCGGACUGAGAGGUUGAACGGCCACAUUGGGACUGAGACACGGCCCAGACUCCUACGGGAGGCAGCAGUGGGGAAUAUUGCACAAUGGGGGAAACCCUGAUGCAGCGACGCCGCGUGGAGGAAGAAGGUCUUCGGAUUGUAAACUCCUGUUGUUGAGGAAGAUAAUGACGGUACUCAACAAGGAAGUGACGGCUAACUACGUGCCAGCAGCCGCGGUAAAACGUAGGUCACAAGCGUUGUCCGGAAUUACUGGGUGUAAAGGGAGCGCAGGCGGGAAGACAAGUUGGAAGCGAAAUCCAUGGGCUCAACCCAUGAACUGCUUUCAAAACUGUUUUUCUUGAGUAGUGCAGAGGUAGGCGGAAUUCCCGGUGUAGCGGUGGAAUGCGUAGAUAUCGGGAGGAACACCAGUGGCGAAGGCGGCCUACUGGGCACCAACUGACGCUGAGGCUCGAAAGUGUGGGUAGCAAACAGGAUUAGAUACCCUGGUAGUCCACACCGUAAACGAUGAUUACUAGGUGUUGGAGGAUUGACCCCUUCAGUG